rnacentral:rRNA from 1 species
AUUGAACGCUGGCGGCAGGCCUAACACAUGCAAGUCGAGCGGAUGAAGGGAGCUUGCUCCUGGAUUCAGCGGCGGACGGGUGAGUAAUGCCUAGGAAUCUGCCUGGUAGUGGGGGAUAACGUCCGGAAACGGGCGCUAAUACCGCAUACGUCCUGAGGGAGAAAGUGGGGGAUCUUCGGACCUCACGCUAUCAGAUGAGCCUAGGUCGGAUUAGCUAGUUGGUGGGGUAAAGGCCUACCAAGGCGACGAUCCGUAACUGGUCUGAGAGGAUGAUCAGUCACACUGGAACUGAGAAACGGUCCAGACUCCUACGGGAGGCAGCAGUGGGGAAUAUUGGACAAUGGGCGAAAGCCUGAUCCAGCCCUGCCGCGUGUGUGAAGAAGGUCUUCGGAUUGUAAAGCACUUUAAGUUGGGAGGAAGGGCAGUAAGUUAAUACCUUGCUGUGUUGACGUUACCAACAGAAUAGGCACCGGAUAACUUCGUG